GCAGGCAGCCGACCAGCCAAAGCAGAAAGGCAAACACAGACCUGGUUAUCCUCGUUUUGCCUCUAUACGGUUUCGGUUUUAUUUUUUGCCCUCUCAGUGCCGGAAGUAGUGAAAAUUUCAUUGAUUUUGUUGUUGGAUGCAAUGUCCUCGUCGACUGCUGGCGGACGGCCUCGUUUCGCUCCUGAUUGCACUCACACGCAUGUAAUUUUGGGUGCAUGUGUGAGUGCUGGCUCUGCUUCCUUAAUUCGAGUCCUGCUUGCAUGCUGAGAGAGUGCAUAGUCUGUGUUUGCCUUGGGCCUGGCGGUCCGUGGGUGUCCAUUUGACGCCAUGAUUUAUUGCAUGUGGUCUGCUGCCUGACCCUUUCUCAUAUCGCCUCUUCAUCUGUGGGUGUGUGUGUGUGUGUGUGUGUGUGUGCUUGUGCUUUCUCUCUGCCUCUCUGUUACUCCUUCGAGUGUUUAUUUGUGUGCAUUUCAUUUCGGUUUUUGUCACUCUCACUCUCUGUUUGAGUCAUAGCCAACGUCACCCACACACGCAGGCACAGACGCAAACAUACCGUUCUUGCUGUUGGGCAUGUGUCGGCGCUAAAGCCUGUAUGACACUUACCGAAAACAACGUGGAGAGAGAUGACACCAGAAAUGCUACAACAUAGGUCCCCCUUGAUUCAUUAUUCCUCUUCAGAUAGUACACCAUUAAGAGAGUUUCAACAAGAAAAUUAGACCCAAUGACGGCAUGUACUUUUGUAGGUCCCCAUCGCAUUAAUUCAUUAGCAUUAAGCAAGUGUCAUACCUGGUCCAACAAAAGAGAACAGAAGAGCAGAAAAACAAAUAAAAAUGUAUGUAAAUAUCAAUGGCUGUUUUUCGCAGCAAGAAUUUGAUCAACAGAGUUAAUUAAUUAUGCAUCGUGGUCUAUGAAUAAAGGCAGGACAUUCCAUAUUUGCGUAAAACAUUUCCCCUUAGAGAAUCCUCCUCCCAUCUCAUUUUUGCGUGCAUUAUAAGAGCACCCUAAGCGACAGCAAAAGCCCGCCCUCAAUUCAGUAUCUGAUUGCAGCGACGUCAACGCCAGCGUAAGCAGAGACGCCAGCUGCAGUGCAAUUGUUGCUGCUGCGGAAGCGAAUCCUUUUCACUGCGCAAUAUAAUCUAAAGAAUUUAUGCAGAGCAGCGUGAAAAAGACAUUAUUAAAGGAGUCAAGCGGGGAGGGAGAUGAUCAUACUCCACUUCCUCUUCACAUCCCCACCGAUGCUUCCUCUCACCUCGCUUUGCCUUCAUUAUGCCACCCCCGCAGCUGUCUAACGUGCUCGAAAUUAGCAACAUUCUCUCUGCUUGUCACAGAGGGUAUGCUUAUUUGACCAGAUGUUGGUAAAGCAGAAUGGAAUAGGCGUUUAUGACCCCAUAAAGUAUACAUAUGUACUUAUUCGGGAUUAUAAAUAAAAGCCGAGAAGAUAUAGCCAUAGUUUUUAAAUUGAAUCAAAGUCGUAUAAAUCUAUUAAAUUGCUUCCAUAGUUAGAUGCGACAAGGGUAUUAAGCGCGUCGGCUCUCUAACUGAAACUCCUUUUUUUUCUCUGCCGCUGCCGCUGCUACUCUUCUUGUUGUUGUUGUUGUUGGCCAACUUGCAGCUUUUUGUUUUAGCUGCGCUGCCGCGUUGCUUUUGUUGUAGCGUGCUGCGCUCUUUUUGGUGUCACCAGCAGAAAGCAGAAGCAGCAACAACAAAAACAACAGUAAGAACUGGUGGACUGCGUUCAUUGUACGUGAUUUGAAAUUUAUUCACAGUUGGGACUACUUUUUUUCUCUCUCUGUCUCUCUGCUUUUUAUUAUAAGUCGACAUGACUCCCUUGCCUUACCCCUCUCACACUCCCUGGGCGCUUUGUCAACUUUUUCAUACUUUUUCUGUUGUUGCUUUUUGCUCGUUUGCCUUUGUAAAACUUCCGGUUAAUAGGGACCAGCAGAAGCAGAAGAAAAAGCGACAGCAGAGGAAGCAGCCGAAGAAAGCACACAAGAAAAAGUCUUGCCCUCACGACGAACGUCGUUCGUUUCAUGUUACAAGAUUCGCCCCGAACGAGAAGCCCCCCGAAGCCAAGAAUAAAACGAUAAUGUUCACGUGCGUCCGCCGGCGUCACCCAAAACCAGGAGAAGAGUGGAGAGCUAGAGAGGGGUAGUCCAACGAUGGGGGUAACCAAAAGCGGCGCCGGUGGUUUGGCUCCUCAAAAAUGGGCAAACCCCGAUCUGGGCCGCCCCUUCUUGCAGCCUACCAACAACUACGCAAUCGUCAAAAUAUUUCAAAUUGUUAUUGAGAGAGAAAACUCGCUUGAGGCCAUCGGUUAAGCGAAGGUAGGAUAUUAAAGCUAAUAGUCCUUCUGGCUCUGAUUAUCCUGUAGAUGCAUGCACUCUGUUGCACUCCCUGGAUGUUCAGUCUGUUGGGUAUGUUAUAAAUCGAUGACUUUCAAAUGCAGCAGACCUGCCCUGCCCCUCUGCUUCUCCAUCGUCGGGCUAUUGCCCAUAGCCUUCUUGGGCAAGGUAUGGCUUCCUGUCUUGGCCAAAGUGUGCCACAUCUAACCAUUUCUUCCGCGUUGUUUGGCAUAAUUUGAAAGCAAUUACGAAGCCAAUUAAAUGUGCAUAAAUAUUGUUAA